UACGUAGGGCGCAAGCGUUGUCCGGAAUUAUUGGGCGUAAAGAGCUCGUAGGCGGCUUGUCACGUCGAUUGUGAAAGCUCGGGGCUUAACCCCGGGUCUGCAUUCGAUACGGGCUAGCUAGAGUGUGGUAGGGGAGAUCGGAAUUCCUGGUGUAGCGGUGAAAUGCGCAGAUAUCAGGAGGAACACCGGUGGCGAAGGCGGGUCUCUGGGCCGAUACUGACGCUGAGGAGCGAAAGCGUGGGGAGCGAACAGG
rnacentral:rRNA from 1 species